rnacentral:lncRNA from 1 species
AAAUAGAUAAAUAAUUACAUCAUACAAAGACAACGAUCCAGCAACCAUAGUUGACUAGGAGAUGACGACCUAGACCACUCACAAACUCAUCACAACAUCCUUCAUGUGCCUCAUCUUGUGGUACCUAUUCUUGACCUGGGGGGAAUAUGAGCAGAACAAGGGUGAGCUCAGAUACAUUCAUCGCUCAACAAGUUGUGGGGAAUAAUGUGCAUGAACUCACCAAAGGUGGGAGCUCAUGUGAAGUGUAAGGCUUACCAAAGGAGAUGGUUGAAGCUGAGCAUUUCUUUUAAAGUUGAUCAAAAUUUUAUUAGUAGUUACUAAGUAUAAAUAGAUACUGACCCAAACUUUAUUAGCAGUUACUCUUGCCUACCGAGGCUUGACCCUGCUUCAUCGGAGCCGGAGUAGUAUAAGCAGCCCUAUUGGGACAAUAGUUGGCAUAGUGUCCAGUCUGUCCACACUUGAAGCAUGACCUGUUUGCAGAAGUAUUAGGAGCAACAGGUCCAGCUGGAGUGCUUGCUUGAGGAGUAGCUUGCGUCUACUGAGUUUGUUGCCCGGAACUGCCACAAGCAGGUGUACUUUGAGGAGUAGCAUAACGGGGAUGGGAACUACUUCCAGCUUGUCCCUGGUUAGUGGUCCUUCUCUUCUCUCCAAGUUCAACCCUCAUGUUUUCCAGAGCAAUAGCUUUGUCUAGUAGUCUCUAGAAGGAUGGGAAUGUGUGUGAUAUCAGCUGGUAUUGUAGUGGCCGGAUCAAACCUUCCAAAAAUAGCUCCUGCUUUUUCUCAUCAUCAUCGACUUCACCAGAAGCAUAUCAGGAUAACUUGAUGAACUUGUCCCUGUAUUCGCUUACUGACAUCCCUCCAUGUUUGAGGGAUUGGAACUCCUUUUUUAAUCUUCAUAAGGCCAGCAAAAAUAUGGUAAUUCCUGAAUUGAGUGGGGAAUUCUGCCCAGGUGAUGGUAUUGGCAGCAGCGUGAGCAGCGCAAUAUGCAUCCCACCAAUCCGCAGUGGGGCCAGUAAGUGACCUGAUGCAUAGAGUACUUUCUCCCGGUCGGAGCACUGAGCUACGUUGAGCAUGUUGUCCAUGGACUUUAACCAGUCAUCAGCUUGUAGUGGGUCCAAGGAGUUAGAGAAUGUCGGUGGCUUGUGACUCAUAAACUCCCAGUGCUUAUCCUUGGGUGGAGCUGGUGGUGGUGGAGGUGGUAGUUGCUACCGUUCCUGCCGUUCUUAGCGCAUUUCUUGGCGUUCUUGCCUCAUUUCCUAUCGUAUUUCCUACCGCUCCUGGCACAUCUCCUGUCGUUCUUGACGCAUUUGCUCUUGCAUUUCCGUCAUGGUGUUUGCUAAUUGUUGCAGCAGCUACAUCUGAGCGGCAGCAACGAGAUCUGUUCUAGCCGGUGAAGGAGGAUUCAUCUCUGGUUAUGGUUGGUUAACAAUCCACCUAGACGGCUGUUAGCAGGUAGAUCGAUACCGCUUCCCUUCCUGGUAUUGACCAUCUGGGUUAGAAAUAUAUGGUAAGAUAGUUUUGCAAGGGGAAUAAUUUAGUAGGCAGAAUAGAUAGCCUAGUAGUUGAUCAUAAACUGGAGGAUCUUAGGCAGAGCUUGAUUCUGUUGUUUUGUGCCUAUGUCGGGUUGACUAUGCUUAUAAGAUGAAUCUCCAAGGAUAAGAUAGAAUCUGCUAAGAUAAGAUAGAUAUGUGAUACUAGAUAUAUUUUAAUGGGAGAUAAUAUAGUUUGUCUAGUUAUUUUAUAAACAUUUUUUAUGCCUAGGUGUAUAUGCAGAUGCAAUUGUGGACAUUACUCCACAACUCAUCACACUCAAUCAAAGAACUGAAUCAAGCAGUUAUAAUAAGAAUAAACAGUCAAGCAUAUACAUACUUACAAAAAUAGUUUGUUUUUGUUCCUAAGAGUAGGUCUCUUAUUCCUAGAGGUCACUUUAGAUACAUGAUUUCAAAGUGUGAAAUCCACUUUUGUCUUUAGAAGUGAAAAGGUAAGAAUAAUCAGAGUAAAGCAGCAAUAGAUGAGAAAAGAUUAAGAGAAGUUUAGAAAGAAUCAGAGUAGCAAAGGUAAGUAGGUAAGGUUUGUCCAGUUCUAUCUAGGUUACGUCCUACAGUCAAUAUUCCUCUGAUACCCCUUCUAUCACACCCGGGUUCUAGGGGUCCAAAACCCGGGCGCAAAAUAUUCACCAAGUGUGCUAGGAUCAAGUCUCACACAUAUGAUGACUCAUGGUACAGAAACGAAUGUCACAUCAUUAAUAUAUAAUAGAGUUAUGUACAAAAUAUAUAAAUAAUUAUGUCAUACGAAGACAAUGAUCUAGCAACCAUAGUUGACUAGGAGACAAUGGCCUAGACCACUCACGAACUCAUCACAACAUCCUUCAUGCGCCUCAUCCUAUGGUAUCUGUUCUUGACCUGGGGGAUGUGAGCAUAGCAACGGUGAGCUCACAUACGUUCAUCGCUCAACAAGUUGUGGUGAAUAAUGUGCAUGAACUCAACAAAGGUGGGAGCUCAUGUAAAGUGUAAGGCUUACCAAAGGAGAUGGUUGAAGCUGAGCAUUGCUUUUAAAGUUGGUUAAAAUUUUAUUAACAGUUACUAAGUAUAAGUAGAUACCGACCCAAAUAAGUAAGAGAUCAAAUUAAUAACAACACCCACAAUGCAAUGCAUAUGACAAAUUAAGUUUAGUCUGUAAAUUUAUCAUGCGAGAGUCCUGAGCUACUCAUGACCACGAGCACGGCUAAUAUACCAGUUUUACACUCGGCAGAGGUACACCUUUACCCACAAGUUGUGUAUCCCGUCUAACCAGGGUUAGCUAGACUCUUAGACACUUCCGAGGUGAAUGGCUAGGGAUCCACUAUGAGGCCUUUACAAAGUUCCACUAGCUUCAGAAAACCCGCUACGGUUUCUGAGAAGGGCAAUAUAGGAAUCCCUCGUUCGAAAAGCCGUCGCAGCAUGAUCGACCUGAGAACCUGCCUAUAUGCAGCUCCUCUACCGCCCUUGCCCAUUUCGGGUAAGGAAGUCCUCCACUAGCUUUCCUAAUUAGUCAGCUAAGGGCGUCCCAUUCCAUCCUUAUGGUAUCACAGAUAUCUCAAGUUAAGCUCCAUGUUCCAAUUAACACAAUGAUCUUGUCAUGAACCAUAAUUAAAACAACAGUAUAAAUGGAACAUGAUCAUAAUGUAAUAUUAAUACCAAAACCAGGUAGAGCAAUAGCAAAACUACCCAAAAGUUCAGUGGUAAACAAGGUGUGGGAUAAACAAGUAUAGGGAAACCUAUUAGGUCCCAUCAGAUUAACCUGAGCAUGUCACAGUGAUUAACAGGAACAUUAUUGGGUAAAGAAAAGUGAUCAAGGGCAAAACUUGCCUGAGACUCGAGAUUCCAGGUACCAACUUGCUCUUCAAGAAUCUCGUAAAUUCGAAGUUACGGUUAAAGAGUUAUGAUUUUCUAAAGAUUUAGGAGUGGGGUACAAAAGAAAUUAAGUACAUAAUUUUAAUUUAGGUUUCAUAACAAAAUAAAGUUACUAGAUGAUAAACAAUAUUAAUAUGAAUUUAAUGCAACGGGAAUGGAUAAAAAAGGAGCUAAAAUGAAUUACUUAUAAACUAAAUAAGUUCUAAAAUUAUUUUUAUACUAAAAAUCAUUUCCGUUAUUAAUUUUACCCAUUUUAUUAACCUUUGGGCCACGACCACAAUUUUCCAGAAGCGUAGGGUUACUUUUACAAAUGUUUGGACUGUUAUGUAAUGAUCCUAAUAUAGGGAUGGACUGCAGGUUGAUACGAAGAGAGGACAGGGGCUCUUCUGCAUUUUGAUGGGGUCGAAGGGGUAUGGAGGUUUUCUAUCGCGCGAUCAUAAAUCGACGGCCCUGAUUAAAAAGGGCCAUCCCAGAACCGGUAUGGAACAGAGGCCACCAGAUCCAGAUUUGAUGGUCAAAAGCGAACCAUCGAAACGACAUGCUCACUGAAAUCAGGACCACACCCUCAAGAUCUAACGACCCGGAUCAAUCCUGGCCGAAGGGGUACGCGUCAUUCUAAUCUCCACCGUUCACUUGGAUCCGAUGACCAGGACCCAGUCCACAACCCCCGAUGGCCAGAGGCGGUGGUGGUGUCCGCACGGCAGAGACCAUGGCCGGGCCACAACAUUCAUGGCUUCCCAGUUCUAAACUCCAGUCCGAGGUGUGCAAUACGUAGCAGAGACAUAGGUGAGCCAAAUUAGGGAUUUCUUACCGGUAAUUGCGCCACGCAGCGCCCUGGUGACAAAGGAUGGCGGUACGGUGGGGAUUUCCUCGAUCCAGCGAGCAAUUGUGAUGGCUCUGGGACCACACCCCACCAAUUGAUGAAGCGGACGCUCCCCUCCUGCCCUAGCGCACACACGAGAAGCUCGACGAGGUCCCUGCGCCAACCCCCAUAGGUUCGAUGGCGGCGGUAGAUUCCCUCACACCGAUCUCUCUCUGUU